CCUACGGGCGGCAGCAGUGAGGAAUAUUGGUCAAUGGGCGCGAGCCUGAACCAGCCAAGCCGCGUGAAGGAUGACGGUCCUACGGGUUGUAAACUUCUUUUAUAAAGGAAUAAAGUGAGGCACGUGUGCCUUUUUGUAGGUACUUUAUGAAUAAGGAUCGGCUAACUCCGUGCCAGCAGCCGCGGUAAUACGGAGGAUCCGAGCGUUAUCCGGAUUUAUUGGGUUUAAAGGGAGAGUAGAUGGGGUGUUAAGUCAGUUGGGAAAGUUUGCGGCUCAACCGUAAGAUUGCAAUUGAUACUGGCUGCCUUGAGUACAGUAGAGGUAGGCGGAAUUCGUGGUGUAGCGGUGAAAUGCUUAGAUAUCACGAAGAACUCCGAUUGCGAAGGCAGCUUACUAAACUGCCACUGACACUGAGGCUCGAAAGUGUGGGUAUCAAACAGGAUUAGAUACCCGGGUAGUC
rnacentral:rRNA from 1 species